GAAGCCCUUAGAGCCCAGGUUAAUGCAGAGGAGCAGGAUGAGCAGACUUCAAGUUCUACCAGCAGCAGUGGUAGUGGAAGCAGUGGAAGUGGGAGCGGUAGUGGGAGCAGCAGUAGCAGUGACAGUGAAGGCAGUGAUGAAGAUUCGGUUAACUCUAUUUGAGUGUUUGAACAACUCUCAGAAAACAAUGAGAGUACCAAAUUGGUAUUUAGAAAACUUUCCCGUCUAACAGAAUAAGCCAUCCUGGUUUUAGGGUGAGGCACUUUCCUUAUGAACGCUUUAUGGUGUGCAAAUAAUUUAGCCAUGUUGAGUGUCAAAGAUUAUCAGGUGUCUUGUAUUUUUGUGAGUAUAAGGUUGGAAGGACACAAUGAGACUGCCUUUGGAUAUUAAGAAAGAGUAUUUUUCAGAUUGAUUUUGGUAUUUUCGUAGUUGGUAGAACAUUGAAGGGUUGUGUGAGAAUAGAUAUGGAAUAAGAGAGAUAUAUGGAC
rnacentral:misc_RNA from 1 species